rnacentral:rRNA from 1 species
GAUGAACGCUGGCGGCGUGCCUAAUACAUGCAAGUCGAGCGAACAGAUGAGGAGCUUGCUCCUCUGACGUUAGCGGCGGACGGGUGAGUAACACGUGGAUAACCUACCUAUAAGACUGGGAUAACUUCGGGAAACCGGAGCUAAUACCGGAUAAUAUAUUGAACCGCAUGGUUCAAUAGUGAAAGACGGUUUUGCUGUCACUUAUAGAUGGAUCCGCGCCGCAUUAGCUAGUUGGUAAGGUAACGGCUUACCAAGGCAACGAUACGUAGCCGACCUGAGAGAGUGAUCGGCCACACUGGAACGGAGACACGGUCCAGACUCCUACGGGAGGCAGCAGUAGGGAAUCUUCCGCAAUGGGCGAAAGCCUGACGGAGCAACGCCGCGUGAGUGAUGAAGGUCUUCGGAUCGUAAAACUCUGUUAUUAGGGAAGAACAAAUGUGUAAGUAACUAUGCACGUCUUGACGGUACCUAAUCAGAAAGCCACGGCUAACUACGUG